rnacentral:rRNA from 1 species
CCGCAAUGUGAGAAAUCGCGACGGGGGGAUCCCAAGUGCCAUUCUUAACGGGAUGGCUUUUCAUUAGUGUAAAGAGCUUUUGGAAUAAGAGCUGGGCAAGACCGGUGCCAGCCGCCGCGGUAACACCGGCAGCUCUAGUGGUAACAAUUUUUAUUGGGCCUAAAGCGUCCGUAGCCGGUUUAAUAAGUCUCUGGUGAAAUCCUGUAGCUUAACUGUGGGAAUUGCUGGAGAUACUAUUAGACUUGAGACCGGGAGAGGUUAGAGGUACUCCCAGGGUAGAGGUGAAAUUCUGUAAUCCUGGGAGGACCGCCUGUUGCGAAGGCGUCUAACUGGAACGGUUCUGACGGUGAGGGACGAAAGUUAGGGGCGCGAACCGGAUUAGAUACCCGGGUAGUCCUAACUGUAAACGAUGCGGACUUGGUGUUG